rnacentral:rRNA from 1 species
GAUGAACGCUGGCGGCGUGCCUAAUACAUGCAAGUCGAACGGAGAUUACGGAAGGAAGUUUUUGGAUCGAUGACUGUAAUUCUUAGUGGAGGACGGGUGAGUAACGCGUGGGCAACCUGCACUAUAUAGGGGGAUAGCAGCUGGUAACGGAUGGUAAGAUGGAACAAGUCGGUUAAAUCGCAUGAUUUGAUCGGGUAAUGAGCAAUCAGGUAUAGGAUGGGCACGCGUCAGAUUAGACAGUUGGGAGGGUAAAAGCCUACCAAAGCGACGAUCGCUAGGCGGACAGAGAGGUCCGGCGGCGACAUCGGGACUGAGACACGGCCCAGAAUCCUACGAGAGGGGGCAGUGGGGGAUAUUGCACAGUGGAGGAAACGCUGAUGCAGCGACGCCGGGUGAAUGAUGAAGUAAUGCAGUAAGUAAAGCUCAAUCAACAGGGAAGAUGAUGACGGUACCUGACUAGGAAGCCCCGGCUAACUACGUG